rnacentral:rRNA from 1 species
CUACGGGGGGCUCCAGUGAGGAAUAUUGCACGAUGGGGGGAACCCUGAUGCAGCAACGCCGCGUGGAGGAUGACGCAUUUCGGUGUGUAAACUCCUUUUAUAUGUCAAGAAAAUGACGGUAGCAUAUGAAUAAGCACCGGCUAACUCCGUGCCAGCAGCCGCGGUAAUACGGAGGGUGCAAGCGUUACUCGGAAUCACUGGGCGUAAAGGACGCGUAGGCGGGCUUGUAAGUCAGGUGUGAAAUCCUACAGCUUAACUGUAGAACUGCACUUGAAACUACGAGCCUAGAGUAUGGGAGGGGGAGAUGGAAUUAGUGGUGUAGGGGUAAAAUCCGUAGAUAUCACUAGGAAUACCUAAAGCGAAGGCGAUCUCCUGGAACAUAACUGACGCUAAGGCGUGAAAGCGUGGGGAGCAAACAGGAUUAGAUACCCGCGUAGUC